GUGAUCGAAGAGACUUUGCUAAUUCCUCAGAAGCAUCGUUACAAAUCACGGCUUCUGCAAGUGUUAUUGAUUUUACUGCCACUACUUUGUCAGGAGGAAUCUUGUGAUGCCUUAGAAUGGUUGUGUGAAGGUCUGAUAAAAAAUCACCAACAGCCUAGUGUUAGAUAUAUGCAGGAGUGGGGAGUAUCUUUGAUCAUUAUCCAUUUCCUGAGUUUUUUCUGCAUUUUGAAAAGCAUUUAAAACAGGGGACAAAAGAGAGAGUGGGUUGUGUUGGAUCAUUUUUAGCCUCACUAACUCAUAUUGCCUGCACUUCAGAGGACAAACAUCUGCUAAGGCAGUCUAUUGAAUGUGCUCUACCUUGGUGUAUGGCUCAGCAUUUCAACACACGGCUUUAUGCUCAGGUUUCAUUAAGGAAGAUUUGGCAGUACUGUGAAAACAAGAAUAUUACUGAACUUUUGAACCAGUUCAGAUCCGUCCAACACUGCCUUCAGUUCGUAGCUGAGCAAGGAAACCGCAGUGCGUAACACACUAAACAUGCUAAAUGAUUUCUAUUUUAAAAGUCUUCCAUCCUCUUCAGCACUAUACAUUACAGACUAUUUUCUAUGAUCUGCCAUGUCUUUCAAUGCUGUCUGAUGAUGAAUGGUUGGCAGUUGAAUCUCUUAUGAACGUAAUGGAUACAUCAGUUUUGCCAGUCAAAAGUAUUUUGCCACUUUAUAAUGAAGAUAAUGUUCUAGCUGAAUCAGUACCAGCACCAUGGGU